rnacentral:rRNA from 1 species
AACGAACGCUGGCGGCGCGCCUAAUACAUGCAAGUCGAGCGAGAAGGUGUAGCAAUACACUUGUAAAGCGGCGAACGGGUGAGGAAUACAUGGGUAAUCUACCAUCGAGUGGGGAAUAACCAACCGAAAGGUUGGCUAAUACCGCGUACGCCUCCGAGUCUUCGGGUUCGAGGGAAAGCUGCACUGUGAGUGUAGCGCUCUUUGAUGAGCUCAUGUCCUAUCAGCUUGUUGGUAGGGUAACGGCCUACCAAGGCUUUGACGGGUAGCUGGUCUGAGAGGACGAUCAGCCACACUGGCACUGCGACACGGGCCAGACUCCUACGGGAGGCAGCAGUAAGGAAUAUUGCGCAAUGGGCGAAAGCCUGACGCAGCGACGCCGCGUGGGGGAUGAAGGUCUUCGGAUUGUAAACCCCUUUCGGGAGGGAAGAUGGAGCGAGCAAUCGUUCGGACGGUACCUCCAGAAGCAGCCACGGCCAACUUCGUGCCAGCAG